CCUUUCAGUUUAUAAAGUCUGAUCUAUUCUACCAUUUUACAUGUUUUCAUAGCAAAGAUCAAAUUCUGGGAGUUUACAUUUCUGAAACUUGGGUCAAGGUCCUGACCAAUCCUCAAAAGAGCAACUGUGUGGACAUCUGUGGCAAUGUCAGAUUCACUGAAUCCCAAGACAAGGAGCUCUUUGAUAAUGGGCUAGAGGAAAGUGUGAAAGAAUGGUUUAGAACUAAUUCAAGAAAGAACAAUCUGAUUCCCACUUGGAGGAGGACGCAGGAGCUGAAUCAGAUGGGGCUGUGGUGCCUGGGGAGGAGGAAAUUGAAAAUGCCCUGUAUGAUUCGAGGUACUGGGAAUACUGAGUGCCAACCAUUGACUAAACUCAAGUGGAAGCCAGAGGCCAGGGGAGCCAGGUGGAUCUAGUCCGCUUUAUUUGGGGAUCCUAGAACGAAGAGACAAUGAAGAUGACAUGGAAU